rnacentral:tRNA from 1 species
CGGCGUGUAGCUCAAUCAGCGAGAGCACCAGGCUUCGGACCUGGAGGGUGCGGGGGCGGUUCCCGCCACGUCGG